ACUGUUUGUGAUGAGCUGUACUUGUUGUCCAGGGGACCAUGUUCGACUGUUACGAUUUGGAAAGGAUACGAGAUAAAUGGGAAUACAUUUUACACGAUUGACCAAGAUCAAAAGAGCAUCAACCAAAACAGUGUUGUCCGCUUUGAUGCAACAACCGAGAGGGGAAAGGACACAUAUUAUGGUUACAUAGUGGACAUAUGGGAACUUGACUACGGACAUGAUUUUAAGGUCCCUUUGUUUAAGUGCAAAUGGGUCAAUCUGUUAGGAGGCGGGGUACAGGUAGACCCACAAUACGGAAUGACAAUAGUGGAUCUGAAAAAUCUUGGGUACACUGAAGAACCGUUCGUCCUAGCCAAUGAUGUGGCACAGGUUAUCUAUGUGAAGGACAUGUCUACCAGACCGAGAAAGAGAAAAGAUAAGAAAGCGAAUACAUCAUACGAUGAGACAAAGCGUCACAUAGUUCUUUCAGGAAAAAGGGACAUCGUG
rnacentral:rRNA from 1 species